UGUCUCUGAGGCCACACAUUCAGACAUUCAGUAGUGUGACCCUUCUGGGAACCCUUCAGCCUUGGGGACAGUGAGGAAAAGUCACCCUUUAUAAUAGGAAUCAGACACCAGCCAUUUGAAUGUCUACUAAGGUGUUUGCCAAGAUUGGAAUGUCACAUGGCACACCAGCAACCCUGACUUUACCAAGUGCUUUCAGAAUACGGUCCUCACAUGGGUGCCUUGUUUCUACCUCUGGUCCUGUUUCCCCCUCUACUUCCUCUAUCUCUCUCGACAUGACCGGGGCUACAUCCAGAUGACACACCUCAACAAAGCCAAAACUGCCUUAGGAUUCUUUCUGUGGAUCAUCUGCUGGGCAGACCUCUUCUACUCUUUCUGGGAAAGAAGUCAGGGAAUGCUCCUAGCCCUGGUACUACUGGUCAGCCCGACACUGCUAGGCAUCACCAUGCUGCUCGCCACCUUUUUAAUUCAGUUUGAGCGAAGGAAAGGAGUCCAGUCCUCAGGGAUAAUGCUUACUUUCUGGCUUGUAGCCCUACUCUGCGCCCUUGCCAUCUUGAGAUCUAAGAUCAUCUCUGCCUUAAAAAAGGAUGCUCAAGUGGACAUGUUUCGAGAUUCUGCAUUCUAUCUGUACUUCACCCUCAUGUUCAUUCAGCUCGUGCUGUCCUGCUUCUCAGACAGCUCACCCUUGUUCUCUGAAACUGUCCGUGACCCGGGCUCUGUGGCCUAUGUGCCCCAGCAGGCAUGGAUUCAGAAUGACUCUCUCCGAGAGAACAUACUGUUUGGGCGCCCCCUGCAGGAACAUUGCUACAAGGCGGUGAUGGAAGCCUGUGCCCUCCUUCUGGAUUUGGAAAUCCUUCCCAGUGGGGACCUCACAGAGAUUGGUGAGAAGGGUGUGAACCUGUCGGGGGGCCAGAAGCAGCGUGUGAGCCUGGCUCGGGCUGUGUAUUGUAACUCUGACAUCUACCUCUUGGACGACCCCCUCUCGGCUGUGGAUGCACAUGUUGGGAAGCACAUCUUUGAGAAGGUGGUGGGUCCCAUGGGCCUACUGAAGAACAAGACACGGAUCCUGGUCACCCAUGGUAUCAGCUACCUGCCCCAAGUGGAUGUCAUCAUUGUCAUGAGUGGCAGCAAGAUCUCAGAGAUGGGAUCUUAUCAGGAGCUGCUAGACCGGGAUGGGGCCUUUGCUGAGUUCGUGCGCACCUAUGCCAACACUGAGCAGGACCUGGCUUCAGAGGAUGACAGUAAGAAUGGUGUCAGUGGUUUAGGGAAGGAGUCAAAGCCGGUGGAAAAUGGAUACUGGUGACAGACGCAGUAGGGAAGCCCCUGCAGAGGCAUCUCAGCAACUCUUCUUCCCACAGUGUGGUUACUAACCAGCAGCACAGCAGCACAGCCGAGCUGCAGAAGUCUGGAGUUAAGGAGGAGACUUGGAAGCUGAUGGAAGCAGACAAGGCCCAGACAGGGCAGGUGAAGCUUUCCGUGUACUGGAACUACAUGAAGGCCAUUGGCCUCUGCAUCUCCUUCUUGAGUAUCUUCCUUUUCCUGUGCAAUCAUGUAUCUGCACUGGCUUCUAACUAUUGGCUGAGUCUCUGGACAGAUGACCGCCCUGCUGUCAAUGGGACUCAGGAGAACAGGAAUUUUCGACUAAGUGUCUAUGGGGCCUUGGGCAUCUUGCAAGGUGUGGCAGUAUUUGGCUAUUCCAUGGCUGUGUCCAUUGGGGGCAUCUUUGCCUCCCGUCGCCUGCACCUAGACCUGCUACAGAAUGUCCUGCGAUCACCCAUGAGUUUCUUUGAGCGUACACCCAGUGGGAACCUAGUGAACCGAUUCUCCAAGGAGUUGGACACAGUGGACUCCAUGAUCCCGCAGGUCAUCAAGAUGUUCAUGGGUUCACUCUUCAGUGUCAUUGGAGCUGUCAUCAUCAUCCUACUGGCUACACCCAUUGCCGCAGUCAUCAUCCCACCCUUGGGUCUGGUUUACUUCUUUGUGCAGAGGAAUCUAGAUUGGGCACCUUGUGGCACAUUGAAGGCCCCUGGGUCUCUGUCAUCUACCGCCACUGCAGGAUCUAUGUCUCGCUCCAAGGGGGCUGUCAAAGAGUCCCAACCCAGUACCAGGCCUCACCUGAAGGAUGAUGGUGAUUAAGGACCACAGUAUGGUGCAGCCCCACAUGGGUGACGGAGACCCUCUUACAGAGACCAUCCUCGGUUGCCAACUGAAGCUGCAGCAAGUUCCAGCCAAGGAGGAUUUCCUGGCCUCUGUCCUGCCCACAAUGCCCACCUGCCAGAUAAUAGGAGGGUGAAAGGCCCACACCAAGCUGGUCUGCUCCAGUCUCUAGAGUUCAUAGAUAUAAAAGGUUUUUUCUUCUUUUUUCUGCCGGAGACUUAUCCCUCUUCUCACCAUUCUUUAACCCUGGCCCCUUCAACACAACCAUCCAUCAGUCUAUUCCACCUUCUAUCUGGGCAUUCUCUAGCUUCUCCUCCACCAGGCAUUUUUGCCUCUUGCCUUUGCUCUAUGCUCUAGCCUCCUCCUCAAUCACUCUCUAUCCUUCUAGGCAUACUUUUCAAUUACUCCACACCCCAUUUAAUUCGUGACUCCUCCUUCAUGCUCUUAUCCUUUCUUGUACCCAUUCAUCAAGUCAUCAAUUUUCUUCAUGCACUCCAAAUCUUUCUUUCUAGUCAUUCCACACCAUAUCCAUUCAUCUUGUUCUUUCCUAUGCCCUAGCUUCCCUCAUAUAUUCCUCACCCAUCGUUCUAUGCAGCCCAACAUGCCCCUUAUUAGAAGACAUCAAGGGAAAUGAAGGCCAGUUAGGGGAAGCCACCCACAGAGGCAAAUCUGGGCAGAAGAGAAUCCCAGUCAGUGACUGCUAGCUGGGAAGCUCAGAAACCGAGGUAGGAGCCUUGACUUGGAUCCAGGUGCUCACAAGUGUGUAUUGGGAAAACACUCACCUCCCUCUGUAUAUCUUUAGGGACAUACCCUGCACAACCAGUGGCAAUUCUGGUGAGUGUCCCAGGCCAAAGUCCUAGAACUAGACCUUUUCCCCAUAAGGCUAUGGAGGCUGGGCUACAUAGAUGGACCAUCUCCAUGGGGCCUGGGGUAGGUGGGCAUGGAUAAGAGAAGCUGUCCCCCCAAACUCCUCAACAGUGCCUUGCCUCUCAGAGCCUCAAGCUUCUGAAAUAUACUAAAACAGCAAAACAGUAUACAAGAAUGUAAUAGUAUAAAGCACACCUGGCACUACAACAAAGCACAUGGAUUUACUGGUACAGAGUACACGCAGAUGCAAUAAUAGAGCACUACUCACUGGUAUAUUAGUACAGAAGUGCACAUGAUUGAGCCAGUGUAUUGUACUACUACAGAUAUGUUCAUGUAUGUACUAAUAAAGAAGUAUGCAUGGGUUUACUAGUAGAGAAGUACUUAUGGAUGUAGUUGCACAACUUUAUACAUGGAUAAACUAUUAUACCCAAAUACACAGGUGCAGUAUUACAGAAGUAGAUAUUACCAUACCAUAUAGGGACAUUUGGGAGUACUAGUAAACAAACACCCAAGGAAGUCCUAGGCAGGAGUUACACAUAGAUAUAUGCCCGGAGAACUGCACUUGGAUGCAUUAGUAUAACACCACACACUUAUCUCUUACUAAAGCACUGCACAUUAGUGUCUUAGCAAAACUAGAAGUGCUACUGCCAUUAUUACAGAAGUACACAGUAAUAUCAGUGUAGAGCACUCUACAUCCUCACUAUGUUUAAGACUGUAUGAAGACAUUCAUGUGUAGUGCUAUAAGUACAAUCGUGUCUACUGCUUUCUAGUACAUCCAUGAACAGUGCUGUUCCAGUAUGUUUGCAUGUACUUCAGGAGUAUCAGUGUUUGCUUCUGUACCAGUACACCCAUGUGCACAGCUGUAGUAGUUUAUCUUUCUUAUCUCUGUGCUCUUGUCUAAUACUUACUUGUGAAAUGACCAAGGGAAGUGGGGGAAAGAAAAGAGGGAGAUAGCUUGGAUAGACAGAGAGGAGGGAGUAUGAGGUGAGAAACCUGAGAUAUGAGAGUGAAGUAUAUGAAAGAAGGCACACAGGAGAGAGAGGGGAGUGUGAGAGAGGGAGAAAGAGAAGUGAGAGGAGAGAGAAGAGAAAGAGAAGAGAAAAUAAAAGAGGAGAGAAGGCAGGGAGAAAGUGAAAACAGAAAGAUUGUGGAGUGAGGAGAGAAAUGAGGGAAA